UGAAGCAGAAGCAGGAAGUGACGUUUGACAACGGGCGGAAAGGCUUCUGUAAGGGCAACACAGCAAUCCCGUUCCUUCCCACUCUGAGAGGGGCGGCUACGGAAGCCUCCGAGGGCCGGAAAGUGCGGAGUGGAUUCUGUUUACCAUGGCGAAGAAGGGGCUGCCCAAGCCGUUGUUGUUCGGGAGCAUCCUGUGUGCCCUGGCCACCGCCUUCGUGUUCAGACGGAGUUUUUUCCCUGAGAUAGAGGAGCUUCGUUCCCAGGAGUUCCAGUAUUAUGAGGAGAAGCGCCAGGAGGUGCUGCAGAGGCGCCAGCAACAACUGGCUGAGCUGCCAAAGAAGAGAAGUGCAUCCUAGCCAGCCUUUGCCCCUAAAGGAGAGCUGCCUAGACAGAGUGGGUGGCUUUUCUCAUUACUCCUGGUACCUAGGAGCUUUGGCCUUCAUUGCUUCUACAGUUCAGCAGGUCACAUCCUAAUGAAGAAGAUAUUUUCUUGGAGAAAGUGAUUUGUCUGGAAGGACAUGAAUUCUGGAGCGGGACUCAAAAUACCGAUUACAGGUUGUCAAGUGUUCGCUAUUCUACGUAAUUCAUAUGAAGGGCUGAUUGUGUUUUUCUUCAUUAAUAGAGACAGAAGGACAGACAUGUUAGUGUACUCACUGCUUUGAGUUUCAGAAUCAAGAAAUUCUGAUUCUUGUACAUGUAUUUUUAAUCACUGUUUGAAACCCAAUUGGUAACACAAAUGAAUUACUGUAUUUCAUUGAUUGUAAGGUGAAUUUUUUUUCCAUAUAGUGGUCUUCAAAAUCAUGCAUCUUAUCAUCGCAGGUGCAUCUUAAAAUCACGUUUAUAAAAAAUACUUUUACUGCACUUUGUUGAUGGAGCACACAUUUUAUUUUUAGGCAGGCAACCCACCUUAGGCAGAAAGGCAUGUCCAAAUUUCACAGAUAAUGCUCUCACAAGCCCAUUUUGAACAAAGUAGCACUCUUCAUAAGUAUGCAGCCACUAUUAUCAAACAAGUUUUGAUUUUAUCUCCAAAACCACCUACGUAAAAAGUUAAGUUCCCAGAUCUGUGUUUCACUUGUUGUGAUCCCUUAUUGCACAUCAAAAUGUCAAAAAGAUUGCACUACGAAGCCACAUUCAAACAAAAAGUUAUUGAAUAUGCAGAAAAGCAUGGAAAUAGAGCUACAGGUCAACAUUUUUAUAUCAGUGAGGUAAAUGUUUGUCUCAGGAGAAAUGCUCGCAAUUCCAUAUUUUUGGGCAAAGUAUCAACUAAGUGCUUUACAGGACCUAAAAAAGGAAGGUUUCCACAAUUUGAUGAAGCUGUGAUACAUUUUGUACAGCAGACAAGCACAAAAGGAUUACCAAUCACUUGACAAACCAUGCAAUUGAAAGCCAUAGAAAUUCUCAAGUCCCUCAGACUAGAUGACAGAAUCUUUAAAGACCGCCAGGGCUGGUGUGACAGACUCGCUUGUCGUAGCGAGUUACCCUUGACGAACAUCUGUCUGUCAAAAGAAUCCUGCAGACUUUCAACAGAAGCUGAUCAACUUUCAGCAAUAUGUGAUUGAAUUAAGGAAACAAAGAAAAUAUGAGUUCAGUCAAAUUGGAAAUGCUGAUGAAACUCCAGUCUUCUUUGAUAUCCCUCAAAAUUACACCAUCAAUGCGGAAGGUGCUAAAGAUAUCCACACUACAAGUCCUGGCUAUGAAAAGCAGCGUAUCACUGUGAUGCUGUGUAUCACUGCCGAUGGUAGAAAGUUGCCACCAUACUUAAUUUUAAAUCAGAAAAACAUACAAAGAACAAGAUUUUCCCCAAAGAUGUUAUUGUAUGUUCAAGAGAAAUGGAUGGGUGACAGCAGAGCUUAUGAAAGACCAGCUAAGUGUUGUGUGGGAGAGGCGUCCUGGAAAUCUUCAUAACCCACCUAGCAUUCAAAUACUUGAUGCAUUUCAUGGACAUUUGUCCAACCAGGUCAAAAACAAAACCAGGCAAAAGGGUGGUGAGUUAAUUGUGAUUCCUAAUGGCAUGAAUAUCCAACUGCAGCCACUCAACAUUUCAGUCCACAAACCAUUUAAGGAUAAUUUGAGAAAGGAAUACGAAUCCUGGCUGAUGACUGACAGACUUCCUCUGACACCUUCUGGAAAAAUUAAGAGAGCACCAGCAAUAAAACUGGCAGAAUGGGUAUCAACAGCUUGAAAGCAAAUCCCAAAAGAAUAGUGCUGGACUCAUUAAAAAAUGUUGCAUCACAAAUGCUCUUGAUGGGUCAGAAGACAAUAUAUAAUGGAAUAAUUAUGCUAAAGACGGGUCAGAGGAAUCAGACUCUGAUGAAUCAGAUUCAAAUACAGAUUCAGAAGCAAGAGAUGAAUAAAAUACCAUACCUUCUUCAUUUUGUGUGCAUUGUUUAUGUUUAAUCUGUUUCCCUAUUGUUGUUCGUAAAUUUAAUUCUAUUGGAGUAAUAAAAAUAUUUGUUAGAUAUA